rnacentral:rRNA from 1 species
AACGAACGCUGGCGGCAGGCCUAACACAUGCAAGUCGAACGCCGUAGCAAUACGGAGUGGCAGACGGGUGAGUAACACGUGGGAACGUACCCUUCGGUUCGGAAUAACGUCAGGGAAACUUGAGCUAAUACCGGAUACGUCCGAGAGGAGAAAGAUUUAUCGCCGAGGGAUCGGCCCGCGUCUGAUUAGCUUGUUGGUGAGGUAACGGCUCACCAAGGCGACGAUUCAGUAGCUGGUCNGAGAGGAUGA